CUCCGUCCCGAAAAACAUGUCGCAGUGACAUUUUUACAAAAACCCCCUCUGCGAAUUCCCGACACAACCCGCGGUCCCUGGUCGUCUCCCUCGCAGCCUCACUCGUCUCCCCUGUGCGUCGGAGCCCUCCCUCUCGGCUCCCCCCGCGCUGGAGCUCCCCUGCUCGGCUCCCCUGCGCGUCGCCGGAGCUGCCUCGCCCCACACCUCCACCGCGUUGCUUCCCUCUCCUUGUUCCCUUGCUCGUUCCCCAUGGUGAACCACGGGAAGGAGAAGGCUCGAUUUUUUUUCUCGAUCUGCUCUCCGACGGCGGCGGCCGGCCUUCCCCGAGCUUGGCCAGCAGGAGCUGUCCCUUCCCGUUGUCGAUCUGCUCUCCGCGACGCCUCCUGCCUUCCCGGACCAUCCCCUCUCACUCAGCCGCGACUCCCUCCCUGGAGCAGCCGUUCCCGCCCAACCCAAAGCCGCCGGUCGGAGCUACGCCGCAGCACGCUCCCUCCCCCCUCUUCUUGGGGACCGGAUUGUGGCCGAGGAGGAGCUUGUCCUUGUCGCCCAGCAGCUCCCGCUCCAACGGGCUCGUCCACAAGUCCGGCAGCACCAGCCGCUCUUCCCUCUUCCGGUCCGCCCUCCUCCCUCCCCUCCCCUCCCGUGGCAUGCUCUAUUCUGUUAUCUUCCUUCCUUCUUUGUCCUGAUGAUUUUUACUGACGGAGUUGUACACAUAGGCGACCCAAAUCCAACAUUUUAGUCUAGCCCAUCGAUGACGACGGCUCCUCCUCAUGCUCAUCGGACUCGUGCACAAGUGCUCUGCAAGUCUGCAUUGGGAAGCAGAUACAGUUUUUCUUGGUGGGCGUGGUUUUGGAACAGCCAUGUCUUCUCUAAUUUUGACAGUGCUUGAGUUUAGAGUAUGGUUAUACUUUUGCUUAGGGAAAUACUUUGGCAUGGAGUACAUUGUGGCUCUGAAAUCAUUUCUGAAGCAGUGAGAUCUGAAGUUUAUGCUAGAAUUGAAGUGUUUGUUUCCUAACUAUAGGUAGCAGUACUCUGAUGGAGUACCUUCUUCAGAGUGCAAAUAGCACCAGCAGCAGCAGUCACGGCGGGAGUCAACAGCAACAACAGCAACACGGCACGGAUCAGCAACAGAAGCACAGGCAGAGCAGUAGCAUCAACACGGGAAGAGGAGCAGCAGCAGCACGGGUUAGCUCCACCGGUGGCAGGGGAGAAACAGAGGAGAAACAAGAUGCAGCAGCACGGGCUAGCACCACCGGCGGGCACGCAGGCAGAGAAGGAGCACCACGGCGACACGUGGGAGACCACGGAGGACGCGCGCGAGCUCCUGUCCACCGGAUCGUGGAGGCCGGCUCCGACGAUGCCCGUAGGUGGGUCGCGGUGGCGCACGGGAGGCAGCUCAAGGUGGACUGCAGGAGCACGAGGAGGACUCGCGGGAGCUCGAGGACGAUGAGAGGGAGCUCCUGCUCCACCGGAUCGUGGUUGAAAUUCCAGCGACGCUCGCAGGUAAUCGCUGCGGGAUGGGAUCGCGGCGGUGGCGGAGUAAGUACUUGGCGACGCGGCGGUGGCGGAGUAAGUACUUGGCGACGGCAGCUGCGUUGAAGGUACGUGGCGACGGAGGCGGAACACUUCCUGGUGGGCUGCAAAUCGCGCAGCUUGGCGGCGCCGCCGCCCCCUGCAGACGCACGGGCGACGGCGGAGGAAGAAGACGGGGUGGAAGGGCUUGUUUGUGAUUGUUUUGAAACUACGAGGGCUUUUUUUAUAAAACUGGCAAUGAACUACACCUGCGACGUGUUUUUCAGGACGGAGGGAGUACAUAGGUAAGAAGCACAGAGGGAUACGAAGACAGGUCUAUAUACAAUUGUACAGUCAACCGUCACAAAGCACUGUCUAGAAGGUGAAUACAAAAGUUUUACAUUCAUGUUCCCAACUACUCAAGCAGGGUCUACUGAAACAAAGUUCAUGAGCGCACAGCAACAAAGCAAAGUCAUUCAGCGCAGGGUGCAGGUGCAGGUGGGCAUGAAGCCGAGUCUCAGAAGUCUGGGCCUUGCUGGAAGAACUCGAGGUCUGGGUGAGUGCUUCCACCUGGAUGCCUCGGACGCCUGCGUGAACAGCAAAUGAGGAGGUUGGCAUCAGCUGUUCAUCAAGUAGAAAUAAUCACCUUCAAUUAUACUACUAUGACUUCCAUGACGUAUUGACAUAUGUAUUAUACUGAAUGUUGCACUGGAUGCAAGUUAGCACGACAAAAAAUGAACUAUAAGAAUGGUUUGUUUCUUCCUUGA